CGGAGGCUCCGCCUCCUCCCCCAGGGGCGUCAGGGGGGAGGCGGCGGGAAUGGAGGCGGCUGGGAGUGACUUGAGUAGUCAUUUAUGGCAUCAUUGUUCUCAUGAAGAAUUCUCACUUCUUUCAAAUAGUCUUAAAAUCUGUGGACAUCUCAAGGACUGGAAUCUGAAUUUGGAUUUCACUGCACGUUAGCUUUUUGAUUUGUCUACUAGCAACUACAGAAAAUUAAUUAAUUUAACUACAAAUACCAAUGGAUUUGCAUUCUGUCAGUGCACCCGCACAUCACCUCAAGGACAUCACAACAUGCCGCUGUGCUUUUUUUUAGCCCAGAUUGCCUGGUCUGGUGGAAAUAUUUCAGGUGGAGAUGCACAGGUGCAAGCUCUGCCAUUUAAUAAGGAGGAUCAAAAGUAAGAUCAGGAUGCACCUGGUUCAAAUGUGCGAGACAGAUAUGGCAGGUCGAAUUUCAGGGUAUCCUAAAAUGGACAAAAGUGAAAAUGAGUCAUAUAGCAUGGGAGAUGAAAAUAAUGAAAGCAAAUAAACUCUUGCAAAAAAUAACUGUCCUGUUGCCUGUGUAUCAGAUGCCUCAAAAUAUGAGUCCUCACUAUUGUAACAUGAACCUGAGCAUAAUCCUCAUGCCUCUCACUCCUGUGAACACCUUGUUUGGAGAAGCAGCAGCUCGUUUGCAGCUUGAGGAGCCCUGCAGUGCUGACUUCUCUCCUAUAUUCCAAGAGAAAGGAUGGAGAAGCCCAGUCUGUGAGUCUUAGCAUCUCUAUCAUUUUACAGUGUUAGAACUCAGACCUUUGCUGGGCAGGUAAAAAACACUAAAGCUGAAUCGAGGUGUAAACACUACAACAAAAAUAGCUGCAAGCUUGAUGUGAAGGGUCAGCUCGUUCUGUGGAAGAUGCUUGUGCCUUAAAGCUGGGUUCUGAGAGAAGGCAGCACUUUUGCAACAUGUGCAAUAGAGCACUAGAGCCAAAAGAUGCUGAGCGAAUCCAUUGAAAGGGUCAUGAUGUGGAUCGUGGUUUUAAAUGUAUUUAUUGUCCCAUGACCAAGUGGAUCUUAAUGGAAAAUCAUUGAAAAAUCACACAAGCGGAUAAAAGAAACCUACCAGUGCCUCAUCUGCGAAAGUGCUUGUAUGUCACAAGAUGCCUGGAGAGUGAAUAAAAACAACCAUUAGAGGAAACCUCGUCCCAGUGCGUGGUAUAUCUGUCGUCUUCUGAAACUGAGCAGAUAAGAAAUCUUCAUGUAGCUUGCUUACCAUUAUUGGGAUAUGGUUAGAUGUCCACACAGUGAUUUUACCAGUCCUGUUACAUGUAGACCCUUAAGGGUCACUGGCUUCAGCUCCAUCACAAUAUCCUUACAUGUGUUGGUGGUGCCUUGGCCACUGAACCAUUCUGGAGAAACUGUUGUACACUGAAUUGGAGAGUCAGUUUACGUAAUUUAUUUGUUAAUUGGCAAUCCAGAGAAGCAUUGAAGGAGCAUGUGGAAAAUCACAGAACUUCUACAUCAGUUUUGUCUUCAUUUUGGGACCAAAUAUUCAAAACCAGACAUCAAAUGAGUGGACAUCACAAACAAAUCCAUCAUAAAAAACCAAACCCACAAAUGAAAGAGAGGGACAGAAGAAAGAAGCCUGAAGAUAAUCCUGUGUGCUCCAACACAAAGCAACUAGAAAGAAGGAUUCAACUUAAUUUAAAUGUAAUACCUACAAUAGCCCCCCUGAAGUGCAAACUCCUGAAACCAGCAAUUAGCCAUAGUACCUGCCCGUGGCUGUCUCUUAAUUCUUUCUGCUGAAGGCCCUGGCCCCGCAUCAGAACUCCAGUUGUGGUGAGCUCAAUUGCACACAGCUCCAGCCAGCUGUGUGUCCUGCAGCACAGAAUGCACAGCUGAUGGCAGAAUGGCCUGGAGACAACACUGCCAUGCUGACUGCGACUCCAAGCACACGGGCUGUACCACCACACAUUGCUCCGGUAUGCCAAACAUUCAGAAGAAGAGCUUGGACCUUCACAUACACUGACCUCACACUGGUGAGGUAUUUGGCUGUAGUUUUUGCUGCUCUUCUUUCCCUGGCAAACAACUUCUCUGAAAACAUAUUAGGAAAUAUUACCUGUGUUCAGGAACCUCAUUAACCACUUCCCAACCCAUCUUUACCUUCAAAUUACUCCUUGUGGAACAUUAGGUUCUUCAUGCUUAAACUUCCACCUGAGCAUCCCAGCAAAUAAAGAAGCUGUUGGCAUGGUCAGGCUUUUGUGCUGAAAGCCAAGGAUUAUCUGGAAGAAGAGAAGAAAUGGUCCUUAUGUGGCAAUUGAAAGAACUUAGUAUGGUCUUUCCAAAGUACUUUGUGUGCAGUAUGGUACAGGUGGUAACUUCAGUGUGCUGAAAGUAUUGUGGAGAUUUAUCUUACACAAAGGUUGGACAUGUUGAUUUUUGGUCUGGUUACCUCUUGCUCAUACAUUCUGCUUACUUACUAAUGAAGAGUUUGACAUUUCAAGACAGAAUCUGUUGAAAAGCAUCAAAGCUAACAGUGAACCCUACAGGUGGUUUGUGUAUUACAUCUUUCAUUUUUAAUACAGUCUGUAUAAAACAGUAAAUGAUUCAAGAAAAUCUACUGAUGCUGUGGCAUUCAAUGUGGUAAAAAAUAUUCACUAAAUUUUUUCAUAGUUACUUUUUAUAACAAAAUGUGUCUAUUAUCAUAUUAUUAUUAUUAUUCAAUGUUGAAGUAAAAAUAGAAACUAUUGAAAUAUGAUAUCAAAUAAA